rnacentral:rRNA from 1 species
UAAGGGAUAUUGCGCAAUGGGCGAAAGCCUGACGCAGCAACGCCGCGUGCGGGACGAAGGCCCUCGGGUUGUAAACCGCUUUCAGCAGGAACGAAACUGACGGUACCUGCAGAAGAAGCCCCGGCCAACUACGUGCCAGCAGCCGCGGUGAUACGUAGGGGGCGAGCGUUGUCCGGAUUCAUUGGGCGUAAAGAGCUCGUAGGCGGUUCGGUAAGUCAGGUGUAAAAACUCCAGGCUCAACUUGGAGAGGCCACCUGAUACUGCCGUGACUAGAGUCCGGUAGAGGAGCAUGGAAUUCCUGGUGUAGCGGUGAAAUGCGCAGAUAUCAGGAGGAACACCAGCGGCGAAGGCGGUGCUCUGGGCCGGAACUGACGCUGAGGAGCGAAAGCGUGGGGAGCGAA